rnacentral:rRNA from 2 species
GACAGAGGGUGCAAACGUUGCUCGGAAUCACUGGGCGUAAAGGGCGCGUAGGCGGAUCGGGAAGUCGGGUGUGAAAUCCCUGGGCUCAACCUAGGAACUGCAUUCGAAACUCCCGGUCUAGAGUGACGGAGAGGAAAGCGGAAUUCCCGGUGUAGAGGUGAAAUUCGUAGAUAUCGGGAGGAACACCAGAGGCGAAGGCGGCUUUCUGGACGUUGACUGACGCUGAGGCGCGAAAGCGUGGGGAGCAAACAGG